AGUAACAAAAUCAGUUGAGUUUUUGAUGCCGUUGCGGACGGAGCGUUUAAAUCGAUUGAAAUAUAACGGUUAGCAUUGAAUGCUUAAUAAGGUGUUACUUAUGUGUGUGGUGUUUAUCACAAUGUCUUCUUCAAUUUUAUUUUUGAUUUGUGUCAACAACAAAUUUUCCAUUUGAAGUGAAACGACAAAGUGAAAAAAAAAGAAAAUUCCCAUUCCAUGGAAUAAAAUCUCCACCCAAAAGUCCAGCACGAAAAAAAAAAUAAAAAUCGAAAAAGGAAUGAAGGAAAAUAUAAUUCAUAGUUAAUUAUUUGUGUGCGUGUGUGAUAACUUCGAGAGCAUAACAGAGAAGUGAAUUGUAGAGAGAGUGAGAGCCCAAGAGAGCGUAGGCAGGAAUUUCUGCUUCCCACCAAGAAAAACCUUUGCUCCUUGUUUCAAAAAGGCAAGCUCUCUAAAAAAGAGAAAUCUCCAAGUGAAAGCCGUAAUAAAUAAAAAAAAUCUCCAAAUCAACAAAAUCUUUGCAAAACAACAACAACAAAACAAAUAAGUGAAAAAUUAUUAAAAAAAUCCAAGAGUUUCAAUUAAAAAAACCCAAUAAUUCAUAAUAUCCCCAAAUAGAAGAGCGAAAUAUAACAGAGAGAAAUAGCAGAGUGAGAGAGAAAGUUUAAGCAAAAUAUUACAUUCAUACUCUCUCUCUCCCUUGCACAAAAAUCCUUGUCACAAAAAUCAAGCUCUCAGCUCUCACAGUGUGUGUGUUUCAGUUGGAGAGUACUUAUCAUCAACAACAAUUUACAACAAAACCAAACAAAACAUCCAACAACAUUACGACUAGCAGAGUAUCUCUCUCUUCUCCUAACAUUAUUCCGGCAUUGUUGUGCUCCGCUUUUCGUUUUUUUAUUGUUUUUACCAUUUGUAUGGUUGUUGGUGGUUCUCUGCCGAAUGACUUUGUAUGCUGAGUGAAAAAGGUACAUAAUUUGGGAUGACGAAUUUGAUAUAGAAUACCAACAGAUGUGAAAAGAAGAAUAUACAAAUGUUUGCCUAAAUUUUAAGAAAGGUAAAUCAAAUAUGAG